rnacentral:rRNA from 1 species
AUUGAACGCUGGCGGCAGGCCUAACACAUGCAAGUCGAGCGGAUGAGAGGAGCUUGCUCCUCGAUUCAGCUGCGGAAGGGUGAGUAAUGCCUAGGAAUCUGCCUAGUAGUGGGGGACAACGUUUCGAAAGGAACGCUAAUACCGCAUACGUCCUACGGGAGAAAGUGGGGGAUCUUCGGCCCUCACGCUAUUAGAUGAGCCUCGGUGGGAUUAGCUAGUUGGUAGGGUAAAGGCCUACCAAGGCGACGAUCCGUCACGGGUCUGAGAGGAUGAUCAGUCACACUGGAACUGAGACACGGUCCAGACUCCUACGGGAGGCAGCAGUGGGGAAUAUUGGACAAUGGGCGAAAGCCUGAUCCAGCCAUGCCGCGUGUGUGAAGAAGGCCUUCGGGUCGUAAAGCACUUUAAGUUGGGAGGAAGGGCCCAUAGCGAAUACCUGUGGGUUUUGACGUUACCAACAGAAUAAGCACCGGCUAACUUCGUGCCAGCCGCCGCGGUAA